rnacentral:misc_RNA from 1 species
CUGCAGGUGCUGGCGCUUCCCAGCUUGUGGUUGCAAAAGCAGCAGCUGCUGGUUCAAACAAGCAUCUACAAAAGCAAAGAGAAAAAAACGCCGGAAACUCCGCGCACAUACAAACACACGUACAGGCACAACGCAGACAAGGAGCACAGUACAACAUCACAAUGCUUGCAGUUUUAGACGUGGCAAAGCACGUUUUUUGGAAUGACACCGCCUUCAAUAGAAAGCUGCUUCCCUCGGAGGCAGCACUGGAAAAGUGCAGUUACACGAUUGCUGAUCUUACGACCAUGACAGGGAAGGAGCGGAUCUCUGUCUUUCAGCAGUGCGGGAUUGAUCCAUCCCUCUUUCCUCUUUUUUUGAGGUCACUUCAACACAUCACUGCGCUUCACGGUGCGGGUAAAAUUGACGGUAAUUACAUGAUUCAUCGGCAUCUGAGCGCACGCCAGUGGAGUCCGUUCUACGCCAACACUCCUCUUCUCGGCUAUGCGAGCGUGAAUAGUUUAUCGUACAGAGAGCAGUGUUCAUCUGCGGCAAAGGAGACAAAGAGGGAGGAUGUAGCUGACCUGGAAAGAGGUCGGACCUGCCACUCCCACUACAACGGUUUGCUCAAUCAGGGCGCGACCUGCUACCUCAACUCGCUCCUCCAGGCUCUUUUCCACAUCACAGCGUUUAGGGCUAUUAUCUAUCAGAUGCCGACAAAAGACGAGGCGGAGCAGCAUGCUGACCUGGAGUCGACAGUGCCCAGGAGCAUUCCGUAUGCCCUGCAGCGACUCUUUUGCCACCUGCAGAUGUCGACGCGCGCUGUCGGCACAUGCGAGCUCACUGAAUCAUUCGGAUGGGGCGCAUCCGAUAGCUUUAUCCAGCACGACGUGCAUGAGCUGACGCGCGUUCUUCUAGACAAUUUGGAGGAGAAGCUUAAUGCUCAACAAGCAGAAACCGGGAAUCCGAAGCCGAAGGAGAAUGCGAUUCAUCGUCUCUUCACGGGCUCCUUGGAAAGCUACGUGAAGGUGGAAGAGGCGAACUACUACGGCUCCCGUGAAGAACCGUUUUAUGACCUCCAACUCGUUGUGAAGAACAAGAAGAACAUAUACUCGAGCUUCGACGCCUUUUUCCAGGUCGAGGUGCUGGACGGAAAAAACAAGUACUGCCUGGAAUGCAAUGGGAAAAAGUCGUAUCAUCGUGCAGAGAAAGGCGUCCGGUUCAAGACGAUCCCUCCCAUCCUUCUUCUGCACCUUGCACGCUUUGACUACGAUAUUCAGCAGGGCGAGACAAAGGUGUUGACGCGCUGGGACUACUACAACACUCUGGAUCUGUCGCGUUACAUGCCAGAGUCUCCGUCGACGGACACGCAUUACACCCUGUGCAGCGUGCUGGUACACUCCGGGUCAAACACCGGCUUUGGCCACUACUUUUGCUUCCUUCUGUGCUCUGGCGCGUGGUACAAGUUCAACGAUGAAGCCGUUACCCCGGCAAAACUGAAGGAAGUGUUUGGUGACAACUUUGGUGGCUUCAAGCUUAACUACUGGGGUUCUGAGAUUCCAAACACCGCCAACGCGUACAUGCUUGUGUACAUCCGCACGAGCCAGCUGAGCUCCAUUCUAUGCCCGAUCGGCAGCGAUGACGUCCCACAACACGUCGUGCAGCAGCUGGAAAGAGAGCGUGUUGAGCACGAGCGUCGCGUCAAGGAGCAGGCGGAAGACUACCUCUACGGGCGGGUGCAUUUUAUUCUGCCGAACGAAAUCACCGAUCAGGAAGAGUACCUUACGUCGCGUCGACCGGCAGCGCAGAAGUUCUCCUCUCAUAAGACUCUGCGCAUUCCGCUCGACGACGAAGCGUUGCCGGCUUUUGAGGAGUUUGUGAAGCGGCAGCUGGGUGUCGACGCCGAGCAGCAGCUGCUAUGGUUUGCCUCAUCGCGCACUGGCGGGUCAGAGAUUCGACUUUCUCAGCAGGUCAGGGCGAACAUGAAGGUGCGACAGCUCUUGCAAAACGCAAAGGAGUGCUGCGUACUCGUCACAACUCCAGCAACCGCCACAGUAAUUGAACUCGACCAGGGCUGCGUGUCCCGCGAGUACCAGGUGUUUCACCACAAGCUAUACGACCCUCUGCAGCUCAAAGUCCUUUUUCUAGGGUGCACCGUCCUACACCGUGAUCCGAACGGGGACGCAAAGCAGGCUCUCGAAAGCAUGGAGUUACAUGUGCGCUCCCUCAUCGCCGAUCUGCCAGACCUGACAAAGCAGCUGCAUGGCCAUCAUCUGAAGAAGCCGCCGAAAGCGAAGCAGGCACUGCCGUCGAAGCCACGGAGCGCCACCUCACUUGAGACCUACAGGUCGAACCAGGACCUCUCCUCGAGGGAUGAAGCGGAGAUGACCGAAGUGAGGCGCGGUAUGCCGCAAGAGGCGUUGGGAGUGGUGCGCGAAACUGAGGCGCGCGAGUUUUUGCCGUGCAGCGAGCUUUACUCGGGUGACAUUCUGAUCUGGAAACUCGACACACCGAACGAGGACCCAGCGAACAUUUUCUACCCCGACAUCCAGAGCUACCAGCACUUUCUCCUGCACCGUAUCCCAGUGGAGCUGAAACUGAACCGCUACCCGGAUUAUCCCCUGCUGAUCGCGACCGAGCUUGCAGAGGACAUGACGUACGAGCAGCUUCAGCGGUACGUCGCACGGCUCAUUGGCGACAUGGAGAACUACGACCGCGUUCGCUUCACUCGCCACAACCCGGAAACGGAGCUGCCGUACUUCAUGAAGGGCAAGAAACACGAUCGUGCAACUUUAGCGAGAUUGUUGAUGCCUGCCAGUUCGCGGGUUCCCGCUCUGUCCAAGUACCUCUAUUACGAGUACUGCAAGUACACCGUCACCGAAAUUGAGAAUGCGCACUCGCUGCAGUUCAAGCUGUACGGCGACAAUGUCAAAGUGGUGUCGACGCACUGGAUUCUGCUGCCGCAUGAUCUUCCUAUCACGGCGGACCUGCUCUUUCCUGCCUGCGUGCGCGAGAUUCAAAAAGACUACGCAGCCGGUGCCUGCCCAGCGGUGGCGGCGCUGCUCAAAGAGGACCCAGAAAACACAUCCAACAACUCCACAAUCACCUUUGUGAAGAGGCUCAUGCAGAUGGAUUGCAAGAGCGCGCACGAGUGGCUGCGUCUGGUCGACGUGUGGCGCGGUCGUGUGUACAACAUACUGGACAAGAACCACACGCUUGUCUUCGAACACAACACUUUCGAAGAAAGCGCGGAGUAUCGUAUCGAGCACAUUCCUGCACCCAUCCCAGGCGUUCCCUCUUCAGACCAGGCGGUGUUUCAGGUGCAUCACUUCACCAUGGUGCGCCAGCGUCGCGACGCUAUCGAGACACACAGCGAGCCCUUCAGCAUGUACGUCAACUUCUACGAAACGUCGAAUCAGCUGUUACGCCGCAUCGCCGCGAAGCUGGAGAUGAUCUACGCUGCCGUGCAGGAUUGGAAGGUGUGUCUAGUGAAGGAAAGUCGGGUAGAGGUGAUUGCACCGGAUGCCCUGAUGGGUUCCCACAUUACCAACUUCUGUCUUCCAGAGUGCUACCAGCCGAACCAGAUCGAGCCUUCGAAAGCGGCUUUCAUUGGACUGGAGCACGCCCCGCUCUCAAAGCGAACGGGCAAGCGUGAGGACAAGGUGCUGAUCCUCAACUGACUUCGCACACAUAUAUACUUCUGUUUUGUCGCUUUCAUCCGGUUCACAUGCUCGCUGCACGGUCACGCGAAGAGCUUUCCCUUAAAAAAAAACUAUGCAGAGUCCCUUGGUGGCCUGCCAUCUUGAUGUUGAACUGUGCGUCUUUUUUUUUGUAGGAGGACCUCGUUGCUCUAUUCACGCACUGUCUAUUUCUCUCUGUCUGCGUUGCUACUUUGUUUUUAGGAUUUCCCUUUUCUAUACCUUCCGCUUCCGGCCGCGCCGCGCUCUUCUCCCCUCCCCCCCCCACAUACACAAGGCCGCUAAUUGUUCGAUUCACAACCUUUUCUUGCUGCCGUCUUUGUCUCUUGUUUCUGUGUUGUUAUCACGCCUCUCUCCGCCCCCUCCACACACCCCGCACACUACCACCACCAGCGCCUCUUCUCUGUCCUAUGCAUGAUUUGUGUGCGCGCUUAUUUGUUCGUGCGUGUGUACGCGUUGCGCGUCUGUACGGGAGACUACGCGCACGGACAAUAAAAGGGUGCGGUAGUGUGCCGUUAGUGUCUGGGUCAUGUGCUCGAUGACCGGAUUUCUUUGGCCCGUGUGCUGUUCGUACGUGCUGGCGUUACCGUUCUCGUGGUUGAUUACCUCGUUCUCUUUAUUUGUGCGUGGGAGCGCAGAUGCAUCUGGUGAAGGGCGUAGGGGAAGAGGUCAACGGGUCGAAGUUGGGACACAAGCAAAACAAGCGGCUUUCCUGACAACAUGGAGCAGAGUUGCGCGUCCGCGUCGCCUCUCCCCAGUUCAACGAAGAAAAUGUAACGUCCCCUUUUCCUCUUCCGUUUGUGCGUGUGUGGUAAGGUGUCUUGUGCUUUUUGGCUGCUGUCGUCAUUUCGCUUUUCUCAAUUCUCUUUUUCCGUUUUUGCUGUUUUUCUUGGCGAGGGGGAAACCUCACCGUUGCACCUCAGGGUCCAGCACAUCCACUAUGUGUGUGUGUGUGUGGAGGCCAAGCAGCACCCCCUAUCCCUGCCAAUGCCGAGCCACUUGCGGUGGUGACGCGGGGCCAGGCACCCGCGACGUGGUGGUGCCAGAGCGCUUCAUCGCUGCUCAUGCCGGCAGCCAUGUCGUGGACGGCGUUGCGUCGGAGCGGCCUGCGACAGCGAGCACGCGUGUGCCAUCCAUGUGGUGGGCAGCGUGUCAGCGCGACUCGAACGUGCCCCGCCCGGCCCUCGCACUGCCUACUGGUGGUGGGCAACCUGCGUGCCACCGCGAGGGAUGCACCAGGGAUGGCGACUGGCAUGGUGUGAGCCGCUGUGAGGCGACAUGCGAGGCGGCGGAUCGGUAGGUCUCGAGGCGGUGCUGAGCCGACGGAGUCGGUGCACUGCUGCACUGGCGCGUGUCUACGGCUGCUUUGCACCACGAGAUGGGUCUGUGACUGGCCGGGGGCAGCAGAGUGGCGUUGGGCUCCUGCUGCGCGGCAGAGAAUGGACACACACGUCGAAGAAAUGUUUUCUUUGCUUUUACUUUUUCUUCGUCAUUUUGCGUGCGUGGUGAUCUUAUCAGAAAGGAAAAG